UGCUGGCAUCAACAGGGAGUACAGGUGACUCGUAUGA
rnacentral:rRNA from 1 species